UACGGGAGUGGCAAGCGUUAUCCGGAAUUAUUGGGCGUAAAGCGUCCGCAGGCGGUCUUUUAAGUCUGCUGUUAAAGCGUGGAGCUUAACUCCAUUUCGGCAGUGGAAACUGGAAGACUAGAGUGUGGUAGGGGCAGAGGGAAUUCCCGGUGUAGCGGUGAAAUGCGUAGAUAUCGGGAAGAACACCAGUGGCGAAGGCGCUCUGCUGGGCCAUAACUGACGCUCAUGGACGAAAGCCAGGGGAGCGAAAGGGAUUAGAUACCCCUGUAGUCCUGGCCGUAAACGAUGAACACUAGGUGUCGGGGGAAUCGACCCCCUCGGUGUCGUAGCCAACGCGUUAAGUGUUCCGCCUGGGGAGUACGCACGCAGGUGUGAAACUCAAAGGAAUUGACGGGGGCCCGCACAAGCGGUGGAGUAUGUGGUUUAAUUCGAUGCAACGCGAAGAACCUUACCAGGGUUUGACAUCCUGCGAAUCCCUUGGAAACGAGGGAGUGCCUUCGGGAACGCAGUGACAGGUGGUGCAUGGCUGUCGUCAGCUCGUGUCGUGAGAUGUUGGGUUAAGUCCCGCAACGAGCGCAACCCACGUCGUUAGUUGCCAGCAUUCAGUUGGGCACUCUAGCGAGACCGCCGGUGAUAAACCGGAGGAAGGUGUGGAUGACGUCAAGUCAUCAUGCCCCUUACAUCCUGGGCUACACACGUACUACAAUGCUACGGACAAAGGGCAGCAAACUCGCGAGAGCUAGCAAAUCCCAUAAACCGUGGCUCAGUUCAGAUCGUAGGCUGCAACUCGCCUACGUGAAGGAGGAAUCGCUAGUAAUCGCAGGUCAGCAUACUGCGGUGAAUACGUUCCCGGGCCU
rnacentral:rRNA from 1 species